UACGUAGACCUCAAGCGUUAUCCGGAUUUAUUGGGCGUAAAGCGUGUGUAGGAGGUCCUGUGCGUCUUCUGUUAAAGCCCACCGCCUAACGGUGGAAGUGCAGAGGAUACGGCAGGACUAGAGGAGGUUAGAGGUGCAUGGAACGCACGGUGUAGGGGUAAUAUCCGUUGAUAUCGUGCGGAACACCAAAGGCGAAGGCAGUGCACUGGGACCUUCCUGACUCUGAGACACGAAAGCGUGGGGAGCAAAAAGG
rnacentral:rRNA from 1 species